rnacentral:rRNA from 1 species
CUCGUAGGCGGCCUGUCGCGUCUGGUGUGAAAGCCCGUGGCUUAACUGCGGGUCUGCGCUGGAUACGGGCGGGCUAGAGUGCGGUAGGGGAGAUGGGAAUUCCUGGUGUAGCGGUGGAAUGCGCAGAUAUCAGGAGGAACACCAAUGGCGAAGGCACAUCUCUGGGCCGUAACUGACGCUGAGGAGCGAAAGCGUGGGGAGCGAACAGGAUUAGAUACCCCAGUA